rfam:Ovis aries breed Texel chromosome 3, whole genome shotgun sequence.
UCCCUGCUGGCUCAGACAGUCAAGAAUCUGCCUGCAAUGCAGGAGACCUGGGUUCAAUCCCUGGGUUGGGAA